CGCGUAGGCGGCGGAGCGUGUCGGAUGUGAAAUCCCCGGGCCCAACCCGGGAAGUGCGUCCGAAACUGCCCCGCUGGAGGACGGAAGAGGGAAUCGGAAUAUAGGGUGUAGCGGUGAAAUGCGUUGAUAUCCUAUAGAACACCGGAUGCGAAGGCGGAUUCCUGGUACGUAUCUGACGCUGAGGCGCGAAAGUCGGGGGAGCAAACA
rnacentral:rRNA from 1 species